AAUCAAAUAAUAACCCUAACACGUCAUUGAAUCCUUUCGAUGAUCUCCCAUCUUCAUCGUUUCAUCUUCUUCAACGGAUCGUCGCAGUAAGGUUUACAACUUCUGGCCUUUUCCGCUUCCUCCUUCAUCUUCAUCCCCUUUCAGCUUCCCUUACAAUUGUAAAUCACCAUUCAAAUUCUCCUCCUCCCACUAAAUUUUACAUUCAUCAAAUCGAAGACAACAACUCCACAAAUUACUGUUCGACUUCCCCUCUCCAACCUAUAUAUAAUACUCCAAUGUCACUUUGUUGUUUAUAUCUAUUAAUGGUUUUUGUGUUGGUAGAAUCAGGAGUUGAUAUCAAUCUCUGGAACUACCGUAGACAGAUAAUAGCUCUCUAUAGACUACUUUGAUGCAAGCUCUCUACCGUCCAGCAGCGAGAGAUCCUCAAGCUCUGCUCCUCAUUUGGAGAUCAAAGAAGAAGAUCUUUAGUCUGCCCCGAGAAAGAUCCGUAAACUUCAAUCCGUUUUAAAAGUCUGCCUUUCUGGUUUGAGCUUAAAAUAUGAUGAUAUUACAAGAAUAGAAGGGAUUAAGCGGCCUGAGCUCUUAUCAGCCCGAUCUAGCAUGACAGCUAAUGAAAGGAAGCUCGCAGAUGUUUGUGCGUUAAAUGCCAAUGAAGUGACAAAGUGAAUGAGCUGCUUAGAGUGUUUGGAGCACCGAGUGGUGCGAGAAUCUAUUGGGCUAGAGGGGAACCUCUUAGGAAAAAGCAGCACUCAAAACCGAGUGUUAUGGUCAUGGCAUUUCAUGAAAGCGAUGAGGAGAUACGGAGAGUUCCGGAGUUUGGUGGAGAAGCUACCGGGAAAGAAAUUUCGGGACGAGAAUCUGGAUCGGGACCGGUCAGGACCAGACACAAAUAACGGUCGGAGGAGAGGGUCAAACGAAGCGAGUGAGGACUCUGGCUGAGAAGAGACCAAGCAGAUAAAGAGGUACCCAGUUUUUUACACUUUUUACCAUUAUUGUUUAGAGGGUGGUAAAUAAAGGUUGGUUGCGUGAUGGGGAUUGUUUGGUAGUUUUUUGUGAAUAAAAAACGUUUUGAGGAACAGAGUCUCAGCACAGCAGAGAGGAAGAAAGCUUACUUGGGUGAACUGGAAAACAGAGUGAACGACUUGGAGAACAGAAACUCUGAACUUGAAGGGAGACUUUCUACUUUGCAGAACGAGAACCUGAUGCUUAAACAAGUACGCUUUUUAUCUAUCCCGUUAGACUUCAAACAUAUCACAUUGCUGGAAUUAACCAUCAAUUUUCAAGCCGUAGGGACCCAUUCAUCGAAUUAAAUACUAAGUAGCCUAAGAUAAGCUUGAGAUUAGUUCACAAAUAUUUUUAGAUUUCCAAUGGUUCUUGGAAUACGCUCAUUGACUGUGAUCUGUGUGGAUGGUUCGUUCGUGUUAUGUAUUUGGUUUUGCUGUUCAAGUGGUGGUGAAGAUGAGAAUGCAAUGUUAUGAUUGAUAAGUUCUUACACUCUUCUGUUAUUGAUGAUAGCAAUAUCUGGACCCGAAUAGAAAGCAGUAACAUAAGCCAGUGUAUCACAUGACUGAGUUGCAGUCUCUCCUUUAUCCCCUCUUUCUCCAGGAACUCAGAGGUUCCUACCCCUUAUUGUGGUUAUUUUGUUAUAUGUGAGAAAAUUUACAGCAGGAUCAUGGGAAUGUGACAGAUGGAGAAGUGAACGAGUCCACCAUAGUUCAUCUUCUUAAUUCACGUAGCUUCUUUGGAAAAAUCAAAGGCUCCUGUACAGUUGCAAAGUUUGCGGAGAAGCCUAAGCGACUUCUGAAUUCAUUUGAUAGGCAAGAUUACAAGAGAAGUCCCUUUCUCAAUGAUCUAAGGCACCAAGGUUGAAGGAUUUUGAAAACAAGAGAGGUGAAGGUCAUUGCAUAUAAGUGUUUGCUGAGCUUAUGUGUUGGAAGAUCAACCAAUUACGUAUGCGCUCUCCAUAGGAUCUGAAAGGACGUCUGAAUAUGCAGUUUCAAGUUGAAGAAUGUUGCUGGUGGUCUUACAAGGAUAAUGGUAUAAAUUAGUUUCAACAGUUAUAUUUGUUUCCAUUUCUUGACCGAGAACUUAAAAAACAUAUUUGAUGAACAUACUGUAUAUAACUGUUUAUGGAAUUAAAAAUUAAUAAAUAAUUUCAUGAUA